GGGAGAAGCUGAAUAUGAGCUGGCAGCUAAAAAAUUUGUAAAGAAAUCAACUCGCUCAUUUUCAUUGUACAUUUUUUCUCUAAAGCAUUGUCCACAAACUGUGUGUUGAUUCAUGCCCUAAGCCAGAUGUUGACGACUUGACUGUUACCACCAAGUGUGUCCGCAAGAAAAUGUCAGAGCCUUUACCUAGACCUUCCAAUGGGAAAAAUAUAUAUAGUCAAUGUAAAAGGAGAAGGGCCUCCUGAAUAACAUCCUUCUUUGAAGCCUACCACUGAAAUGGAAGAUCCUGUUGUGAGAGAAGCAGUACAAAGAAUGUACAGACAUCGAGAGCAGGUACAUUUUCAAUACAAAUGGAAUGCUGGAAAUAAGUACAUGAAAUGAUUGGAAGUACUCACAUUCUUC